rnacentral:rRNA from 1 species
GACGAACGCUGGCGGCGUGCCUAAUACAUGCAAGUUGAGCGAUGAAGAUUGGUGCUUGCACCAAUUUGAAGAGCAGCGAACGGGUGAGUAACGCGUGGGGAAUCUGCCUUUGAGCGGGGGACAACAUUUGGAAACGAAUGCUAAUACCGCAUAAUAACUUUAAACAUAAGUUUUAAGUUUGAAAGAUGCAAUUGCAUCACUCAAAGAUGAUCCCGCGUUGUAUUAGCUAGUUGGUGAGGUAAAGGCUCACCAAGGCGAUGAUACAUAGCCGACCUGAGAGGGUGAUCGGCCACAUUGGGACUGAGACACGGCCCAAACUCCUACGGGAGGCAGCAGGAGGGAAUCUUCGGCAAUGGACGAAAGUCUGAACGAGCAACGCCGCGUGAGUGAAGAAGGGUUUCGGAUCGUAAAACUCUGUUGGUAGAGAAGAACGUUGGUGAGAGUGGAAAGCUCAUCAAGUGACGGUAACUACCCAGAAAGGGACGGCUAACUACGUG